rnacentral:rRNA from 1 species
UACAGAGGUCCCAAGCGUUGUUCGGAUUCACUGGGCGUAAAGGGCGCGUAGGUGGCCUGAUAAGGGUGUGGUGAAAGUCCGGGGCUUAACCCCGGAUCUGCCGUGCCGACUGUUAGGCUAGGAGUGCUGUAGGGGCAGGUGGAAUUCCGGGUGUAGCGGUGGAAUGCGUAGAGAUCCGGAAGAACACCGGUGGCGAAGGCGGCCUGCUGGGCAGUAGCUGACGCUGAGGCGCGACAGCGUGGGGAGCAAACAGGG